GAUUAACGCUAGCGGCAGGCCUAAUACAUGCAAGUCGAACGGGAUUUCGGGUAGCAAUAUCUGAAUGAGAGUGGCGCACGGGUGCGUAACACGUAUGCAAUCUGCCUCUGACUGGGGAAUAGCCUUCCGAAAGGAAGAUUAACACCGCAUAAAAUAAUGAAGUGGCAUCACUUUAUUAUCAAAACUACGGUGGUCAGAGAUGAGCAUGCGCCCGAUUAGCUAGUUGGUGAGGUAACGGCUCACCAAGGCGACGAUCGGUAGGGGGUCUGAGAGGAUGAUCCCCCACACUGGUACUGAGACACGGACCAGACUCCUACGGGAGGCAGCAGUAAGGAAUAUUGGACAAUGGUCGCAAGACUGAUCCAGCCAUGCCGCGUGAAGGAUGAAUGCCCUAUGGGUUGUAAACUUCUUUUAAACGGGAAAAAACCCCUCUACGUGUAGAGGGCUGAUGGUACCGUAAGAAUAAGGAUCGGCUAACUUCGUGCCAGCCGCCGCAGUAA
rnacentral:rRNA from 1 species